rnacentral:lncRNA from 1 species
AUUUCACCAUGUUGGCCAGGCUGGUCUCGAUCUCCUGACUUCAGAUGAUCCACCCACCUCGGCCUCCCAAAGUGCUGGGAUUACAGGCGUGAGCCACCGCGCCCGGCCAGCAUUUUCAUUUCCAACUGGAACCAGCUCUGUUCUGGGAAGUCCAUUUUGGGGAGGAAGGAGAGACAGCAAGCCAGAAGGGCUGUGAGUCAUGUCAUUCCCCUGCUUGAGAGCUCCUGUUGACUCCCUGUCUCCCUUAGGACAAGUCCAAGUUCUCCACGUGCCACUGAAGUCCUGCUAUUCUCAUCCCUUUCCUUCCAAAAGGGAAGUUCAUCCCCACAAGCUGGUAGAGCUUGACAAGUAGACAGGCCCUGGCUGGGCACGGUGGCUCAGGCCUGUAAUCCCAGCACUUUGGGAAGCCGAGGCAGGCGGAUCACCUGAGGUCAGGAGUUCGAGACCAGCCUGGCCAACAUGGCGAAAGCUUGUCUGUACUAAAAAUACAGAAAUUAGCCAGGCGUGCUAGUGUGCACCUGUAGUCCCAGCUACUAGAUAGGCUGAGCCAGGAGAAUCACAUGAACCCGGGAGGCAGAGGUUGCAGUGAGCCGAGAUCAUGCCACUGCACUCCAGCCUGGGUGACAGAGUGAGAGCCUGUCUCAAAAACAAAACAAAACAAAAGAGGCCCCAAUAAUACAGUGUGUAACUGGGACACGAAGGGCUGUGUGGACACAGAGACGUAGACCAGCCCAGACUUGGGAGACAGGGAAGGAGGGACAGCUCAGCUGAGACCCAAGGAAUAAACAGAGGUUACUCAACUGUGUAGACCAGCGUAGAAGACUGGAAGGGUGGGGAGCGGGGGAAGGGCGUGCCUGGCAGAGGGAACAACAGGAGCAGAGGCCUGAAGGAUGCAAUGUGUGGAGGAAUCGCCGCUCUGCAGGGCUGGAGAGGCUCCCUGAGGGCCCCUCCAUGCCCUAGGACCCAGCAGCCAUGCAGAGCUGAAGGGAGCAAGCCAAAGACUCAGACAGGCGUGGCCCUGCAGGACAGGGACUGGUGGACCCGGGAGCCUCCCACUGGUAGGGCCACAGGAACGGCCAAGUGAACAGUGUAGGAGUGUGAGCACCAGGGGGCGCUGCAGGAUCAGACGUGCACACCUGGACCCCACCACAGGAUGAGGU